UACGUAGGGGGCGAGCGUUGUUCGGAGUUACUGGGCGUAAAGGGUGUGUAGGCGGUUUUUUAAGUUUGGUGUGAAAUCUCCCGGCUCAACUGGGAGGGUGCGCCGGAGACUGAAUGACUCGAGUGCGGGAGAGGAGAGUGGAAUUCCUGGUGUAGCGGUGAAAUGCGUAGAUAUCAGGAGGAACACCGGCGGUGUAGACGGCUCUCUGGACCGUAACUGACGCUGAGACACGAAAGCGUGGGUAGCAAACAGG
rnacentral:rRNA from 1 species